AUCGGCAUUUGUAUAAAUCUGCGAAAAGACUGAUAAUUUGAAAACAUUCCAGUCCUAUAACUUAAUGGUCCAAUCUUAAAAUUCUUCGACACGUGGUACAGGACUAGCAAAGUGUGAGAGUGAAAGAAAUCUUUUUGCAUCGUACUGAUGGUCGAAUGGAGGGUAAUAUCUAAUUUUCAGCUAGAAACUCAAGCCUUCAGAAAGAAAAGAAACAUCUUGAGACAGUUAUCCAUACUUUACUACCAAAUCAUUCUAAUCCAGCAUCCUGGAGAGGGGGUCUGUGGUGGUUGUCAUCUGACGAUUCUCUGGAAACACCAAAUGGCAGAGGUUUUGCUUUUAGCAGAAAUAUAUUAAUCUGUCAUUCGUAAAAAAAAUUUAGGCAAACUAUACCCUUAUUAAAUUUUUGCUGCAGCUUCAAAGAGUGGUGGACCGAUACCGUGGAUAUAAUAUGUAAUUAGAAGAAGAAGAAGAAAACAAAAAAUCUUAAUCUGAAAGAAAUAUAUUAUUACUUCACCAGAGGAAUUUUGUUAUGGUAACCAUUCUGGUUGUCUGU